GCUAGGCGUCGUGGCCGUCGUCAUUUACGUAAGGCUCGUUGAUCGUUAAGGCAGUCAGUCAUUCAUUCGACUAACAAAACAGCUGUUCCAAGGAGGGAAGGAAGAACACUGUUCGUGUGCGUGGGACAGAGCCAAAAUUUCCUCAGAAGAGAUGAAAGAUAAACCACCCUCAUCAAAUACGUCAGCAUUAUCAACAACUCAGCAAGUGAUUCGGCAAAGAAAGAAACCCCACAUGCUGCCACCUCUUGAGAAAAGGAGGAACUCUGUUGACUGUCGAGCAGAAGUUGGUAGUCCCACUCCAAAAUGGCGACGCCCUAGCCUGGAGGAACAACUAAUCUUGGAAGAGCCCCCAGUUGAUGGCCGCCCAGUCAUCAGGCUGACGCGAUGCCCUGACGUUACUAGCCCAUUACCUGUAGCCCCAACAAUACAUAUUGCAAGUCGCUACACACCACUUGAACCAAUAAAACGCAGGAAUAGCAAACAAACUUGAAUGAAGAUCAAGAAUUUGUACACGCAAAUCCAAAAUAUUAUCCAUUAUCAUUUCAUUAAUCAUCGUUACUUAAUAUUUUGUGCAGAGCUGCAGUAUAUAGUGUUGCAUGACAGAAGGAAGUUUUAUAUUUAAAAUAUUGCUCACAUGUCCUACUGCUGUGCAACAUGACUGACUGAACAAUUCAUGCCUGCCAACUUCAAAGCACAUCCUUUAUAGAAACUGAACCACCACUGGUAUUUAUUCUGUGGGUCACAUAUUAUCGAACGUUACCAAUAGAUAAGAAUCAAAUUCGUAAAUGUUUCUAGAAUUAGAGGAAUUAUUUUUUUACAUGCUUGUAAUUGGCUGUUCCCAGUUAGAUGCAAUAUUUCCAUUUAUCAAUGUUUGGUUACAUGUUUAAGAGUCCAAAUAUAAUACCGAGCUUCUAAUAUGUAUUUAAUAAACUCAUAUUUGACAUCAAGAGUCCAGGUUUGCAUGCCUAGUUAUGAGGUCUGAGCUUCACAAUGUUUAUUCACUGCCCAAGAAAAUUAUGCAACCAUCACAA